rnacentral:rRNA from 1 species
GAUGAACGCUGGCGGCGUGCCUAAUACAUGCAAGUCGAGCGAACGGACGAGAAGCUUGCUUCUCUGAUGUUAGCGGCGGACGGGUGAGUAACACGUGGAUAACCUGCCUAUAAGACUGGGAUAACUUCGGGAAACCGGAGCUAAUACCGGAUAAUAUUUUGAACCGCAUGGUUCAAAAGUGAAAGACGGUUUUGCUGUCACUUAUAGAUGGAUCCGCGCUGCAUUAGCUAGUUGGUAAGGUAACGGCUUACCAAGGCAACGAUGCAUAGCCGACCUGAGAGGGUGAUCGGCCACACUGGAACGGGGACACGGUCCAGACUCCUACGGGAGGCAGCAGUAGGGAAUCUUCCGCAAUGGGCGAAAGCCUGACGGAGCAACGCCGCGUGAGUGAUGAAGGUCUUCGGAUCGUAAAACUCUGUUAUUAGGGAAGAACAUAUGUGUAAGUAACUGUGCACAUCUUGACGGUACCUAAUCAGAAAGCCACGGCUAACUACGUG